UACGAAGGGGGCUAGCGUUGCUCGGAAUCACUGGGCGUAAAGCGCACGUAGGCGGAUUGUUAAGUCAGGGGUGAAAUCCCAGAGCUCAACUCUGGAACUGCCUUUGAUACUGGCGAUCUUGAGUCCGGAAGAGGUGAGUGGAACUCCGAGUGUAGAGGUGAAAUUCGUAGAUAUUCGGAAGAACACCAGUGGCGAAGGCGACUUACUGGACACAUAUUGACGCUGAGGUGCGAAAGCGUGGGGAGCAAACAGG
rnacentral:rRNA from 1 species